AUUGAACGCUGGCGGCAUGCCUUACACAUGCAAGUCGAACGGCAGCACGGGAGCAAUCCUGGUGGCGAGUGGCGAACGGGUGAGUAAUAUAUCGGAACGUGCCCAGUCGUGGGGGAUAACUACUCGAAAGAGUGGCUAAUACCGCAUACGAUCUACGGAUGAAAGCGGGGGACCUUAGGGCCUCGCGCGAUUGGAGCGGCCGAUAUCAGAUUAGGGUAGUUGGUAGGGUAAAAGCCUACCAAGCCUGCGAUCUGUAGCUGGUCUGAGAGGACGACCAGCCACACUGGAACUGAGACACGGUCCAGACUCCUACGGAGGCAGCAGUGGGGAAUUUUGGACAAUGGGCGAAAGCCUGAUCCAGCAAUGCCGCGUGCAGGACGAAGGCCUUCGGGUUGUAAACUGCUUUUGUACGGACGAAAAGGUCUCUAUUAAUACUAGGGCUCAUGACGGUACUGUAAGAAUAAGCACCGGCUAACUACGU
rnacentral:rRNA from 1 species